GCUCCCACCCUGCCCGCGCGUCGGGAUCUGGCAGGUGCCUUCCCUCGCGGGGCGUGGAGCUCUGACCAGCCCUCUGCGUCCAAAGCGGAUGCCGUUCCCAGGGUGCUGGCCAGGCCGGCAGCCUCGGCACCACUGGGAGCUUGUUCGAAAGGCACAUGCUCAGGCCCCGCCCCAGGCGGGGUGGCAAAUCGGGGGAUGGGGCCCUGCAGGUGACAGUGGCCCACACAAGAGCUGGGGAACCUUGCUUUAGACGGCUGGCCGGAGCCAGCAGCCCCUCCACCCCCAACAUUCGUGGCCCUCUUAUCCUAAAGGCUGCACAGAGCAAAGGGGGCUUCAGGACGGGACAGAGCUGGGUUCAACUCCACCCUCCAACAUUUAGGGUAACCUUAUGGGAGACAGGUUCCGGGCCUGGGUCUCCCAGUCUGUAAACCAGAAACCAUCAGGCUGCUCGGCUGGGCUGUUACACCAAUUCACAGGGCUCCCCAAUCCGCGGUGCUCCCCUACUUCGUAUUUCAUGCCACUGCCUCCUCGCGGCCGGGUGAGGGCACGCCUGGGUCUCAGCUACACGGCUGGUCCGCCCUCUCCCUGACACUCACAGCCCACUUCAGCCGACAAAGGCGUCCAAAACCAAAGCUGUGAUAAACCUGAAAAGGCGUGAUGGGCGCAGUGAAAAAAGGCAGGAAAAGAGGGAUGAGAGCGAAGCAAAAAGACAGGACGCAAGAGAGGGAAGGGAAUUUGGGGCAGAUGCAGGAAGACGUGAAGAGGAAGCGGGUGAAGAGGAGGAAAAGAGAAAGAGGAAGCGGACGAGAGGCAAGAAGGCGACAGAGGGGGGCCCGAGAUGGAAACUUCCAGGAGUUCGUCUCGUCCAAUCCAAGAGUCUCAGGAGGGGAACCAAUGAGCCACCAGGAGAAGGACCAUCCUGCCUGAGAAUCGCACGACGCACUGGGGAGAAACCACAGCCUGACUCACAGUCUAUCGUAAAACAUGUCCACACUUGGGAAAAGACAGGUGAGGCAGAAAGAAAAUCCUUUGCAACCCAUCCAUGCACUCCGGCUGCCCGCUGGGGUCUGCCUUGCCACCCACCAGGCCGAGCCGCCCAGCCAGCUAGAGGACGGAUGCUCCAGGCCCCAGCACAGCCCGAGCGCCACCACCCGCCGACCCCUGCACAAAAUGACAGGUCUGACUUGCCAACCACCUACAUGACUUACAGAGAAGAUCUGUGAGAAUCAGGACGAGGCAGGGAGGAAACCUCAGUCUGAACCUCCCGUGUACAGAAUGUACAAGGCAGAUUAACAGACCAGCCCGGAACAGAGUGAGAAGGCAAAAUAAGGCUGCCUGACUCCAUCGGGGCGCUGGCGGUGAUGGCUUUGUUCGGGUACCUGUCAUUUCGACAGUGGGGGAGAUUGGGGAGCAUGAAGACUAAGGGGGGGGGCUGCUGCGCAGAGGCUGGUCUUGGACCCCCGAGAGAAUUUCUUUCAAAUUCACCCCAAUGAAGCAAGGCCCCUCUUGGAAUUUCACGCUGGUGCCGCCUGCGCAGCCAGCGCGAUGGUUUGGGGAGCCCCUCGAGGGAGACUGUACCUCUUUCCCUCGGCCCCCCAGAGCCGUGUGCCGGGAGCCGGAGCGUCGAGCUUCCUGCCCACAUCUCUCCAAAGAGAGAUAUUUACAAAUGCACUGGACUGGUCUGAGUCACUCAAAAUGGGGCGUUU
ensembl:lncRNA